rnacentral:rRNA from 1 species
UUCCGGUUGAUCCCGCCGGACCUGACUGCUAUCGGAUUGAUACUAAGCCAUGCGAGUCAUUGUAGCAAUACAAGGCAUACGGCUCAGUAACGCGUAGUCAACCUAACCUAUGGACGGAAAUAACCUCGGGAAACUGAGAAUAAUGUCCGAUAGAACACUAUACCUGGAAUGGUUUGUGUUCCAAAUGAUUUAUCGCCGUAGGAUGGGACUGCGGCCUAUCAGUUUGUUGGUGAGGUAAUGGCCCACCAAGACUAUUACAGGUACGGGCUCUGAGAGGGGUAGCCCGGAGAUGGGUACUGAGACACGGACCCAGGCCCUAUGGGGCGCAGCAGGCGAGAAAACUUUGCAAUGUGCGAAAGCACGACAAGGUUAAUCCGAGUGAUUUGUGCUAAACGAAUCUUUUGUUAGUCUUAGAACCACUAACGAAUAAGGGGUGGGCAAGUUCUGGUGUCAGCCGCCGCGGUAAAACCAGCACCCCAAGUGGUCAGGAUGAUUAUUGGGCCUAAAGCAUCCGUAGCCGGCUCUGUAAGUUUUCGGUUAAAUCUGUACGCUCAACGUACAGGCUGCCGGGAAUACUGCAGAGCUAGGGAGUGGGAGAGGUAGACGGUACUCGGAAGGAAGGGGAAAAUCCUUUGAUCUUUUGAUGACCACCUGUG